GCCAUUGGUUGGAAGGCUGAGCAGCAUACCCAGAAACGCAGCGCUGCUGCUUACAUCGGUCGUGCACUCGAGCACUGGGUAUUACACAUUGCUGGAGUGGAGUUUGAAAAUAAUGCACGUAGAGACCAGUGUCGGUGACAAGGAUGCUGCAUCGGUCGGUCUUAUCCUAUUUCAGGAUAAGGAAGCAAUAUCCUACUUCCAAGAUGAUCUCGGCCAACUCAUACAAGUGCGUGAGGUCAAUCCAUCUUUCAAUGCACCUGCCAUCUGCUUGUGGAUAGGGAGCUUAUAGUACCAAACAUUGGCUUGAAGCUGGCUAUUGAGUACCUGUUUGGUGUCCACUACACUGCUUGAACAUCAAAUAUGCUGCACGUGUAGGGGUGACCCUUGAAUUUCUUCAGAGGUGCCACAUCGUCCUCCCCUAGUCACCAACCUACAAUCGCUCUAUGCCUAGAUGUUGUCAUAUUUGAAGAAAUGCAUCGAAAGGAAUCAAGGGAUCAGCAUGAGCAAGCUGCCUGGACACCUUGCCUUCAGAAGUAUGUGCCAAACAUGGCGGUAAUGAGGCCAUUCGGAGCUUCAUAAAAAAGCAUCCCAAAGAGUUUCUGAUUGACAAAUCUGGUCGUGUCUUUUUAUGGCCACCGUGAAGGUUUGAGCACCUACUGAUGUUGCAACAUGACAUUGCAGUCCUUUGCAACGUGACAGGAAAUGUGUUGCGCAUAUUCCCAGCUUUUGGCUUUAUAACAGCAGAACAGCCUAUCAAAAUGACUGUUAAUUUUCACAUUAAGAGUUUUGAAGAAAAUCGCCACACCACUCUGACACCCUCUGGCUUAAGUGAAGGUGACUGUGUCCUCUUCGAUGCUACUAAGUCAGUUGUACACAAGGCUUCCUUCAAAGCAACAUGCGUGGAACGUAUCGGAAUGAAGGCUGCCGGCACCUUCCUCUGUGUGACAGUCAACAAAAAGCCGUCGGUAGAGGGGGAUGAGAGGCUCCACAACAGGUCUGGCAUUGUACACUCAGUGAAGCCAGACUUUGGUUUCAUUACGCUUGGCCCGCAGAAAGAGGACUGCGCGGUCUUUCACAGCAGUCUCGUGGACAAAGCACCUACCAAAGGAAGCAAGAAUUUGACUGACAUU